AAAGAACUAAUUCUUGGGUUUUUGUGUCCAACGUUUGACCGUCCGUUUUAUAUGAAAAUUUUUUGUGAUUAGUAUUUUCAUUAUUGUUAGAUGAUAAAACAUGAUUAAUACUUUAUGCAUGACUUAUCUUUUUAAAAAUUUUUCAUAUUUUUUUCAAAUAAGAUGGACGGUCAAACGUUAGACACGGAAACCCAGGAAUUAAGUUUCU
rfam:Oryza nivara chromosome 12, whole genome shotgun sequence.